GAUGCAAAUGAUAAUAGUGUCUGGACAAAAACCCAACAUAUUAUUGCCAAAUAGCACGUAGGAAAUACUUUUCGACCAGUAGUUCCAGCACAUAAGUAGAAGACAUCGGUGACGCCUCUUCAGACGAGUCUGGUUGUAUUUGUAGCGAACUUCUUCACUCCUUAUUGUUUUUUUAAACUUAAUAAAAAAACCGUUUGAAAUGUUUUUUAGAGAUUUAAUAAAAAUCGUGACUGUUUUUUUGACUUGAUUU